rnacentral:misc_RNA from 1 species
AACGCACAUUGCGCUCCCUGGUAUUCCGGGGAGCAUGCCUGUUCGAGCGUCAUUAUCAACCAUCAAGCCCCGCUUGGUAUUGGGUGUCGUCCCUGCUGUGGACGCGCCCUAAAGUAAUUGGCGGUGGUGUUGAACCUCAAGCGUAGUAAAUUCUUUAGCUUCUAGGUGAUACGUCGCUUUGCCUCGAGAACCCCACAUCUCAAGGUUGACCUCGGAUCAGGUAGGGAUACCCGCUGAACUUAA